GCAGUGUUUCGGCGCUGUCACCGGUACCGUUUUACGGUGCGGGAGGAAAGUCCGGGCAGCAUAGGGCGCUCCACUUCCGAAAAUAGAAGCUAUUGGUAACAGUAGGUUAAGGCAGAAGAAAACAACCGCCAUUCCUAUGAAUGGCAAGGGUGAGAAGGCGGUGUAAGAGACCACCAACAGAUGGGUGAUCAUCUGGUUGUGCCCGCUGGAGGCUGCAAGUUCGCGUAAACCAUCGUAUACGGGUUGCCCGCUCGUUCCGAUAAGGGCGAUGGAGGGUAGAACGCUUGAGCUGUGAGGUGACUCACAGAUUAGAUAAAUGGCAGGCACUCUGAUGCCUGAAAAGACAUCGGGGAACAGAACCCGGCUUACAGAAACACUGCUUUC
rfam:Prevotella pleuritidis F0068 contig00009, whole genome shotgun sequence.